GUGGAUUAGAUACCCUGGUAGUCCACGCUGUAAACGUUGGGCGCUAGGUGUGGGGUCCUUCCACGGAUUCCGUGCCGCAGCUAACGCAUUAAGCGCCCCGCCUGGGGAGUACGGCCGCAAGGCUAAAACUCAAAGGAAUUGACGGGGGCCCGCACAAGCGGCGGAGCAUGUUGCUUAAUUCGACGCAACGCGAAGAACCUUACCAAGGUUUGACAUGCAGGGAAAAGCCGUAGAGAUACGGUGUCCGUAAGGGUCCUGCACAGGUGGUGCACGGUUGUCGUCAACU
rnacentral:rRNA from 1 species